UGGCACUGCCCGGUAGCUAAAUGCGGAAGAGAUAAGUGCUGAAAGCAUCUAAGCACGAAACUUGCCCCGAGAUGAGUUCUCCCUGACUCCUUGAGAGUCCUGAAGGAACGUUGAAGACGACGACGUUGAUAGGCCGGGUGUGUAAGCGCAGCGAUGCGUUGAGCUAACCGGUACUAAUGAACCGUGAGGCUUAACCUUACAACGCCGAAGGUGUUU
rnacentral:rRNA from 1 species